GGCAGGCCUAACACAUGCAAGUCGAGCGGAAACGAGUUAUCUAGAACCUUCGGGGGACGAUAACGGCGUCGAGCGGCGGACGGGUGAGUAAUGCCUAGGAAAUUGCCCUGAUGUGGGGGAUAACCAUUGGAAACGAUGGCUAAUACCGCAUAAUACCUACGGGUCAAAGAGGGGGACCUUCGGGCCUCUCGCGUCAGGAUAUGCCUAGGUGGGAUUAGCUAGUUGGUGAGGUAAUGGCUCACCAAGGCGACGAUCCCUAGCUGGUCUGAGAGGAUGAUCAGCCACACUGGAACUGAGACACGGUCCAGACUCCUACGGGAGGCAGCAGUGGGGAAUAUUGCACAAUGGGCGCAAGCCUGAUGCAGCCAUGCCGCGUGUGUGAAGAAGGCCUUCGGGUUGUAAAGCACUUUCAGUCGUGAGGAAGGUAGUGUAGUUAAUAGCUGCAUUCAUUUGACGUUAGCGACAGAAGAAGCACCGGCUAACUCCGUGCCAAGCAGCCGCGAGUAAUACGGAGGGUGCGAGCGUUAAUCGGAAUUACUGGGCGUAAAGCGCAUGCAGGUGGUUUGUUAAGUCAGAUGUGAAAGCCCGGGGCUCAACCUCGGAAUAGCAUUUGAAACUGGC
rnacentral:rRNA from 1 species